UACGUAGGUGACCAGCGUUGUCCGGAUUUACUGGGCGUAAAGAGCGCGCAGGCGGUCGUUCAAGUCGAGUGUGAAAGCCCCCGGCUCAACUGGGGAGGGUCACUCGAUACUGAUCGACUUGAAGGCAGGAGAGGGAAGCGGAAUUCCCGGUGUAGUGGUGAAAUGCGUAGAUAUCGGGAGGAACACCGGUGGCGAAGGCGGCAUUCUGGACCAAUAUUGACGCUGAGGAGCGAAAGCCAGGGGAGCAAACGGG
rnacentral:rRNA from 1 species